rnacentral:rRNA from 1 species
AGUGAACGCUGGCGGUAGGCCUAACACAUGCAAGUCGAACGGCAGCACAGUAAGAGCUUGCUCUUACGGGUGGCGAGUGGCGGACGGGUGAGGAAUACAUCGGAAUCUACUUUUUCGUGGGGGAUAACGUAGGGACACUUACGCUAAUACCGCAUACGACCUACGGGUGAAAGCAGGGGAUCUUCGGACCUUGCGCGAUUGAAUGAGCCGAUGUCGGAUUAGCUAGUUGGCGGGGUAAAGGCCCACCAAGGCGACGAUCCGUAGCUGGUCUGAGAGGAUGAUCGGCCACACUGGAACUGAGACACGGUCCAGACUCCUACGGGAGGCAGCAGUGGGGAAUAUUGGACAAUGGGCGCAAGCCUGAUCCAGCCAUGCCGCGUGGGUGAAGAAGGCCUUCGGGUUGUAAAGCCCUUUUGUUGGGAAAGAAAAGCAGCAGGUUAAUACCCCGCUGUUCUGACGGUACCCAAAGAAUAAGCACCGGCUAACUUCGUG